GCAUCUCAGGUGUCUCCAUUGAGUUGGAGAUGAAAAGGGAAGCCGGUGUGAAUCCGGCGCAGGACCGCUGCUGUAUUCGGCGAGAAACUUGGCUAUCCACUGCGUGAUGAACGCGGGAAGGGAACAAGUUUCGCAUGAGCUGAGAGCCAGAAGACCUGCCUGAGAAAU
rnacentral:ncRNA from 1 species